rnacentral:rRNA from 1 species
UGAAACUGCGUACAGCUCAUUAUAUCAGUUAUUAUUUAUUUGAUGGUACCUUACUACAUGGAUACCCGUAGUAAUUCUAGAGCUAAUACAUGCGUAAAGUCCCGACUUUUUGGAAGGGAUGUAUUUAUUAGAUAAAAAACCAAUGCAGGCAACUGCUCUCUUGGUGAUUCAUAGUAACUUUAACGGAUCGCACGGCUUCACGUCGGCGACAGUUCAUUCAAAUUUCUGCCCUAUCAGCUUUCGACGGUACUGUAGUGGACUACCGUGGCAUCAACGGGUGACGGAGAAUUAGGGUUCGAUUCCGGAGAGGGAGCCUGAGAAACGGCUACCACAUCCAAAGAAGGCAGCAGGCGCGCAAAUUACCCAAUCCUGACACAGGGAGGUAGUGACAAAAAAUAACA